rnacentral:lncRNA from 1 species
UUUUUAGAUUUUGAUCGGUGAACUUACCAACCACCAAUAACACCAGAAUACAUGCUAACUCAAAAAAAUAGAAUACAUGUACUAUUAUAAUUACAAAGCACUAUUACACUUACAAUACACACAUGUACCACACAGCAGUGUGUAUUUGUACUGUCAAUAACAACGAAUUAACCAAAAACAACUAAUUUAUGAAGGAAACAAUUUUUGAACUUGGUUUGAGCUUCAUUUCUCAGAUUUUUGAACUCCUGUUGUAGGUAUACUUGAACUUGUGUGACACAUUUUAUUCAAUUGAAAAGCAGCUGAUUUUUGAACUCCUGCGGCUAACAUACCUGAUUUAUUUCAGUGAAGGGCUGUGUCGGUGUCAAAACCGGCGGAUCUCGGGUAGGGGGUCCCGAACUGUGCGUCUAGGCGGAUGGUAACAGGAGACAAGGGACACGAUGUUUUACCCAGGUUCGGGCCCUCUUGAUGGAGGUAAAACCCUACGUCCUGCUUGAUUGAUAUUGAUAUUGUGGAUGUUUACAAGAGUGGAUCUACCACGAGAUCAAGGAGGCUAAACCCUAGAAGCUAGCCUAUGGUAUGAUUGUAAUGGUUGUUGUUGCCCUACGGACUAGAGCCAUCCAGUUUAUAUAGACACCGGAGAGGGCUAGGGUUACAUAGGUAGGAGAUCUACGUAUCCGUAUCGCCAAGCUUGCCUUCCACGCCAAGGAAAGUCCCAUCCGAACACGGGACGAAGUCUUCAAUCUUGUAUCUUCAUAGUCUUGGAGUCCGGUCGAUGAUGAUAGUCCGGCCGAUGAUAGUUCGGCUGAUGAUGGUAGUCCGGCUAUCCGGACACCCCCUAAUCCAGGACUCCCUCAGUAGCCCCUGAACCAGGCUUCAAUGACGAUAAGUCCGACGCGUAUAUUGCUUGGCAUUGCAAGGCGGGUUCCUCCUCCGAAUGAUAGAAGAUUGUGAACACCAGGAUAGUGUUCGGCUCUGCAAAAUAAAUUCCACAUUCCACCGUAGAGAGAAUAAUAUAUACACAAGUUCAAUCUGCUGACGUUUUUUGCGGCAUGACAUCACGCCACUACCAAGCUAUUACUUGAAUCAUUUUUUACUCUACCACCUCAGCACAUUUAGCGAAGCGGUUUCCUUGGCACGUCUUGUCGAAGCAGAGAUCGUGUUCCCCCUUAAUCCGGGAUUCUCAUCAAUACGGACGUGGGUAACCCAACCGCGCCCGUCGCCACGCCCCCUCUAUCGAAGGCGAGGUCCAAACGGUCACGGAGACGGCUCUCGGUAUUCUCACUCUUUAUAACGGGACCAAGGCUCGUUUCUUUUUUUCAAUCCUCCAUCGAAUCCUCUCCCCGCUCCAAGUUCCAGCACCUAGAGCUCCAGAUUCGAGCGCUUUGGACCUUCAACAAUGUCCGGUUCCGACCUCUAGGGCCGGUGGAUGCCCUCCUCCGUCACGGAGGAGGACGUGCUAAAGCUGCGGGAGGCCAAGUACCUGGCUUAUGAGAUUUCGCACAGGUUGCCUGCCGAAGGGCAGGCCAUCCCCACCCCCGAGCCCGGCGAGUAUGUCGUUUGUGUAUCCCACCUUCGUCGGGGUUUAGGCUUCCCGAUGGAUCCUUUUGUGAGAGGGCUCAUGUUUUACUAUGGGUUGGAAUUCCACGAUUUGGCUCCGGAGUCCAUCCUCCAUAUUUCCACAUUUAUUGUCGUCUGCGAAGCCUUCCUCCGCGUCACCCCUCACUUCGGCCUAUGGCUGAAGACCUUCAAUGUGGCGCCGAAGAUGAUCGGGAGGCGUCAAGCGGAGUGUGGCGGGGCGUCCAUAAGUAGGAGGGCCGAUGCCCCGUGGCCCGCUGGCUCCUUCCAAGAGGAGCUCGGCCCGUGGCAGCAAGAGUGGUUCUAUAUUACCGUUCCGAGGGGCCGCAGACAAAAGCCGCUGCCCUUAUUCCGCCCGGGACCUCCACGACGGUUGAUGUCGUGGAUCAACCAAGGGCUCAACUGGGGGCCGUCAAAGGACGUGCCCCUACUACAAGGCCGGAUUCGAGAUCUCCAAACGAGGGAGGUUGAUAUGGUGGUGGUAAUGCAGGUUAUGUUGAUCAGGCGUCUCCUGCCCUGCAAAUGCCACCCUCUCCGGCUGUGGGAGUUCAAUCCGGAGGGCCCACGGAUUCUUCAACACUUCAUGGGUAUGACACCCCUGGAGAUGUACAAAUUAUUCUUCGGAUCGCAAGAGGCGCGUCCGGAAUUGACCGAGGAUGCUGGCCUAAGCUACAAUCGCCUGGAUACUCAAGUAAGUAGUUCCAAGUCCGGACAUACCGUUUGUUUGCCUUUCGUUGAUUCGCCUUAUGACCAACUUCCUUCUAAACAGGAGUGGAUAGCAGAAGCAAAAUUGAUAUGGUGUCCGGCCCCCCUCCCCGAGACCGCGCCGGAUUCCAUGCUGGUCCGGAUGCUUGAGGUUGCGCCUCCAGAGGAAGGCGAAGGGGAAAGCAGGAAAGCUACUGCCUCGCCUAAGGAGGCUCUUGAAAGAGGGGGGGUCGAGAAUCCCUCCCUCCAAGGGAAGAAGAGGACUGCCUCCGAGGACCCGGGGGCAAAAGCCCCUAAACGGGGGAAGAAAUCUUCGCCAGAGGGUCCUGCGUCCGGGGAGGCCCCGGCCGCAUAAUCUCCCUUAAAGAAUCAGCCCUCCAACGAGCCGUAAGUAGAAAGAAAGGAGUUUUAUAAUAAGGGACAUCCCUAUUUGUGAUUCUGAGGAUAACUAAAGUUUUUACCUUGUAGUUCGGAUCUCCGUCCUUCGCAAAUGAGCUCGUCUUCGGGGGACAUUCGUCCGGAGAUGAUGGAGAGCGAGACGCCUCCGUCCGGGGCGCCGUCGGAUAGGGCGGACGAGCCUGAAGUGUCAUCACGGAGGGAGCCCCCUGGUUUGGCAAAGCCAGAUAGUUCGGCGCCAACUAGUGUACGGCUGAAGGAUCUUUUAACAGUUUUGCAUAUAGAAUGCGCCCUGUAUAGAUAGUAGCCCCUGAGACUCGGUAGGUUGUCGAAAUCGACAGCGUGCCGAGGAUCAAAAUCGUAGGUUUAAAUUUCCGCCAUGUCGAUGCAGGUGGCGGGUCGUCUGGGGGCCAGCCGGACUGAUGGAGUUGCUGAACUAAAGCGGCAACUCGCUGUUGCGGAUGCGGACAUCAUGCUGGUUAACAGGCGACUUGAUGAGUCGCAAGGUAAGUGUUUCUAUGCGGUCACUUGGUAAGGGAGCCGAAGCCAGCUCCUUACAACAUGUGUGUGAAAUGCAGAUAGUGCCGCUGCUGUGGAGAGCCUUCGGACCGAACUUGCUCAAGCCAAGGAGUAGGCCAGAAGGAGAAAUGCGGCGGCCUCGAGGGCGGCCGAGGAGUUAGCGGCCGAAAGGGUCGCACACUGCCGGAGCAGGGAAGAGAUGGCUGAAAUGGCCGUGAAGUUAAAAGAUGCUACCGACCGCAAUGAGGCUCUUGGGAAGGAGCGCCUAGCGGGGCAAGAAGACCUGGGGAAGGCCACCGCCGAAGCCAAGGAUGCCCGCUCUGCAAUGCGGGCUAUAAAGGAAGAGCUGCGCCAGGCCGGAGAUAUUGUAGCUGGCAAGCCUUUUCUGUUGCGCCGAAGGUUUACGGAUCCAAAGUAUGCUCAGCUGGGCCAACUGUGGGGUCUAGAGGACCCUUAUAUGGAUUUAGCAGCGAGUGCGGCGGAUGCCGUUGUGCAUUUUCGAAGCUAGAAGGAUCACAAGACGGAAGAGCUGUUUUGGUCUCAAUUCCAUAGUCCGGAGUGUUCACUUCCGCUGACCGACCGUUUGGCCGAGUGGGCUGAGCUAAAUAGGUUGUCCGGGCUUGCUAUGACGGAUAUAGUGACCCAUGUCUGGCUGGAUAGGCCCGAGCCGAACAGUUACUUUGGCUUAUUGCAGCAAUUUCUUGGGGCGGUGCCGCAUAUCAAGGUGAUGAAGCGGUCGGCCUGCAUAGAGGGUGCGCGGAUGGCACUCGCCCGUGUGAAGACACAUUGGACAGAGAUGGAUGCCACCGCUGUUGCGACCCCGGGUUCGGACGAUAACCGGUUACCCGCCGAGCACUAUUUUGGCGAAGUGCUGCGUGGUGCUCGUGUAAUAGAGUCGCAGUGCUCAAAAAAUGUUACGUUCGAAUGAACGUUUUUAUGAUGUAAAACAAUAUUUAUGAUGUAAGCGCCUUUUAUACUUGUGCGUUCAAGUAAUAGAAUAUCUCCUAUGCGGCUGUUCAUGUAUACGUGUGUAUAACCUGAAAGAUGGCAGUCGUCAGCUUCAGCCCCCACGCACAAGGUGCGGGGGUGUUCGCAAAAAAUAGCGCGUUUUCACACUUAAUCCGACGUCUCGGUCCUGUAAAGGAGGUGGUAGCGUAGCAAAUGAGGCAACCAGACUAUAAUGCUUUAUCACUUUCACUUAGCCAUGGAGUUCGAGGGUGGGGCUACGACAUAGCCCCUGGGGGCACCGCGCUCUCCGAAUUUGGGGCGCGUAUGUGCCUGACCGGGAAACGGCCCUUCGUCAAAGCGGAGGAAUUCUAAACAUUCCCAUGGUCGAUCGAGUGGUUGACCAGUCUCUCGUUGUAUCAUGACAGUCAGUUUUCGGCUUUCUCUACUGAGGUGCUCGCCCAGCCGAACUGGGGCACAAUCACAGUAGUUCUCCUGGUGCCGCGUUAGCCAGUGAUACAGAACGUAAGGCAGCAAAACACAGGAGCCGGGCAAACCCAACAUUUGACCAAAGACAUGAUUCGGAGCUGAUGCAUAUAAGGCCUAACUCGAGACACCGAACACUCCCGAAGGUGUUCGGUCUUUACAAUAGCGGGCAAAACAAUGCCCUAAGCCCCUUGUGUCCAGGUACGGGCAAGUUCUUCUGGCGCGGCCGAUGCCUAAAUGCCAGUCUCCACUCUGGUUAUAAUGAGAAACCAGGGGAUUAUAGCAACAAGAGACAGUAAGAAAGGUUUACGUAGGGUCUUAGUCUGAAAAGAGUCCUUGCAACGGGUCCCUACUACACGUCUGCGCCUGUGUCUCCGUUGUGCCAUAUCCUGGACGGGUGUGCACGCUGUUCAUCCUUGUGAAGGGGUGUGCGGCUAGAUAACCCCUAGCUUAUUUAUUCCGGACUCGUCCAGCCGUGUCCGGGGUCUCAGGCGACCUUUUAAUGAAAUGAUGCCACGUGGACCGGGCAUUUUAAGCGUAAGAGACGCGUAAUGUGGUAUUGCAUUGAAGCGGACGAAAGCUUCCCGUCCCAGUGAUGCUUGAUAGCUACUUUUAAAUGGGGCGGCAUGAAAGGUUAGCUUUUCUCGUCGGAAGUUGUCAGGUGACCCAAACACAACUUCUAGUAAUAAUGAACCUGUGCACCUGGCGUAAGGGCCUGGCGCCACUCCUUUGAAGGAAGUACGGCUAUGCCGAAUUGUAGUAGGGUCUAUCCCAACUUGCGGAUUAUGUCCGGAUAUAGCAGGUUUGAGUCACUGCCGCCGUCCAUCAAAACCUGUGUGAAUUGCAGUCCGUCUAUUAUGGGAUCCAAUAUCAGGGCAGUCUAUCCUGCGUUCCGGAUACUUCUGGACUAAUCCAGAUGGUCGAAAGUGAUUGGUUUUGACAUCCAAUCUCGGUGUUCCGCUGGGGUGGACCGUGCGACACUUGUCUUAGCGAGUGCCGUGUUGGUUUUCAGUACUAUCACAUGAAGCGAGUUUACUGUUUUGACUUCUUGUGGGAAAGUCUUUUGACUUCCGGUGCUCUGCUGGUGGGGUUUGUCAUCGUCCUCGCUUGGCGCAUCUAGCCCCUUGUGUCCAGCGUUGAGUCUGCCGGACUGUUUAAAAACCCAACAAUUUCGGUUGGUAUGGUUUGCAGGCCUUCCGGAGGUACUGUGGAUUUGACAUAUCCGAUCUAAAAUUUUGUUUAAAUUUGAUAGCUCAUCGCUGUUGUCCUUAAGAGGCAGUGUUUUAUUGUUUGGCCGCGAGGUUUUGAAUCCGGCGUUGACCGCCGUGCCCUUUGGGCUUUUUUCUUUAUUCCGGCGCUGAUCUUUCCUGCACCGUGAUUUUCCAUUUCCAUCUCUGAUCUCAGAUGUACUCGGGUCGCUGGUGCUGCAUCUUGCUAGCCAGCUGUCUUCUCCUGCGCAAAAGCGCGUCAUGAGGCUUGUUAGCGCGGCCAUUGUUCUUGGCUUUUCUUGGCCGAGGUGUCUGGCGAGCCAUUCGUCUCGGACGUUGUGUUUAAAAGCUGCUAAGGCUUUCACGUCCGGACAGUCGACUAUUUGGUUCUUUUUGGUAAGGAACCUAUUCCAUAAUUUGCGCGCUGACUCUCCGGGCUGUUGGGUUAUAUGACUCAGAUCGUCUGCAUCCGGAGGGCGGACAUAAGUCCCUUGAAAAUUUUCUCUAAACGCGUCCUCAAGCUCUUCCCAACUUCCAAUAGUGUUUUCUGGGAUGCUUUUGAGCCAAUGCCGAGCUAGCCCUUUGAGCUUGAGGGGUAGGUAUUUUAUGGCGUGGAGAUCAUCUCCUCUAGCCAUGUGUAUGUGUAGUAUGUAAUCUUCUAUCCAGACUCCGGGGUCUGUUGUGCCGUCGUAUGCCUCUAUGUUUAUGGGUUUGAACCCUGCUGGAAAUUCAUGAUCCAGCACCUCAUCGGUAAAACAUAGCGGGUGUGCGGCGCCCCUGUAUUUGGGUGUGCCGCUGUCUUCGGACAUUUGUCGUGUUGUGUUACUUCCUGGGGCCCUCUUUUUUGGCCCGUAGAUGGACCUAGUUGGGUCGUCCAUUUUCCCAGGAUCAUAAGUCGGCUUGUGUGCGGUGCCGCUUGUCGCUUUUGGCCUGUCAUCUGGCCGUCUAUCCGGCCAGGCGGCCUCUUUAUUUUUUGAUUGUGAGGGCUCUAUGGCUUCCUCGUCAAAUUCUGGCAGCAACUUGCGCUUCGGGUAGCUCUUUGUUUGAUGGCCAUUGCCAUAUUUGUCUGCGGUCUUGAGUACUUUGCUCCACUUCAUUCUGAGUAUGUCUUCCGCUGUUUUGAGUUUCCGUUUUUCCUUCUUCAAACUUCUUGCAGUGGCGACGAGUCUUUUGUGAAGGUUCUUAUGCUCCGGUGUUGUGUCCGAACUGUUGAUUGCUCCGUGAAGGGGUUGAUUAUCCGGUUCGUCCUGUUCGGAUGGUUGCUUGGUUGUAUGUUCGUCGUCCGCUGGUUUGCCCUGCUCUAUCGCUGGGUCGUUAGGAAUGCUGCUUUGAUCGAGGCGGGACUUAGGGCGGCGUCUACGUCGCUGUUUUGGUUGUUUAUCGGCGGGAUUAUCCUCUGCCGCGUCCCGUUGUUCCUCGUUAUCGCUUCCCUUUGGGGUGUCCACCAUAUGUAUGUCAUGUGACGAGGUGGCCUUCCAGUGCCCUGUAGGCGCUGGUUCUUGAUUGUCUCCGGCAUCGUCGUCCAUACCGUUGAUGUCUACGGAGUCAUAGUUUAGCACGUCGGUUAGAUCGUCGAUGGUGGCUACGAAGUGGGUGGUGGGUGGGCUCUGAAUUUCUUCAUUGUCCGCGUCCCAACCAUCCUGGCCGUAGUUCGGCCAGGGCUCUCCGGAUAGUGAGAGAUGCUUCAGCGAAUUUAAGAUAUCGCCAAAGGGUGAGUGCUGAAAGGUGUCCGCAGCGGUGAAUUCCAUGAUCGGCGCCCAAUCGGAUUCGACCGGCAGGGGCGCAGGAGGUUCGGAGUCCGGCAGGGGGUCCGGCACCUCGGAGUCAUGGGCUUUAUGCGGGACAAGGUAAGUGUUCGGCUCCAUCACCGUGGAAGUUGCAGCUCCCGAGGCGGUGUCCAGCCAUCCGUCCUCGAUCCGUGCGAUCGGCUCCGGACUAUGGGUCGGAGCGGAUUCGUGUGCGGCCUCCAAGGUGCUGUCCGGCGGCAGAGUUAGGUCGUGCCCGUCGUGGCAGCGCGGCACGCUUGGCUGUGGCUCAGAUCCAUCGAAGAUCAAGUCCCCGCGGAUAUCGGCCGUGAAGUUUAGGCUUCCAAACCUGACCUGACGGCCAGGGGCGUAGCUUUCGAUCUGCUCCAGAUGGCCAAGUGAGUUGGCCCGCAGUGCAAAGCCGCCGAAUACGAAGAUCUGUCCGGGGAGAAAGGUCUCACCCAGGACUGCGUCGUUGUCGAUUGAAGAGGCCAUCAAGCCUAUCGGUGACGACACAGAGGAACUCUCAAUGAAAGCACCAAUGUCGGUGUCAAAACCGGCGGAUCUCGGGUAGGGGGUCCCAAACUGUGCGUCUAGGCGGAUGGUAACAGGAGACAAGGGACACGAUGUUUUACCCAGGUUCGGGCCCUCUUGAUGGAGGUAAAACCCUACAUCCUGCUUGAUUGAUAUUGAUAUUGUGGAUGUUUACAAGAGUGGAUCUACCAUGAGAUCAAGGAGGCUAAACCCUAGAAGCUAGCCUAUGGUAUGAUUGUAAUGGUUGUUGUUGCCCUACGGACUAGAGCCAUCCGGUUUAUAUAGACACUGGAGAGGGCUAGGGUUACAUAGAGUCGGUUACAAUGGUAGGAGAUCUACAUAUCCGUAUCGCCAAGCUUGCCUUCCACGCCAAGGAAAGUCCCAUCCGGACACGGGACGAAGUCUUCAAUCUUGUAUCUUCAUAGUCUUGGAGUCUGGUCGAUCAUGAUAGUCCGGCCGAUGAUAGUUCGGCUGAUGGUGGUAGUCCGGCUAUCCGGACACCCCCUAAUCCAGGACUCCCUCAGGCUGCCACCAUGUUGUCGACAAAACACUGCUUGAUUUAUUUCAACGGCCUGGAGUGGUGGCUGUGAACGGCCAGGGUGCUCCGGCGGAAGAGCCCCACCGGGAGAUGGCGAUGCAAGCAAGAGGUCGGGAAGCAGUGGUGCCGGUGGUCGGGGUCGUGCAAUGCUCAUGGCAGAACUGUACAGGAAGUUGAUUUCUCACCCAUCCAUAGUUUUUUCCUUUUUGGAAUCCAUUGAACUGAAAAAAGCUACAAUGUGAGCUGAAAGUAUGAA